CACCGGCGGAGCGAGUGGUGGCCGCAAUUACUGGGUUUGAAGGGUUCGUAACCGGAUUGUUAAAUCCUGGGUUAAAUGUCGAGGCUCAACCUCGACGCUGCUUGGGAGACUGGCAAUCUUGGGACCAGAAGAGGGCAAGGGAACUCCUUGGGUAGGGGCUAAAUCCUAUAAUCCAAGGAAGACCACCGGUAGCGAAGGCGCUUGCCUGGGAUGGGUCCGACGGCGAGGAACGAAGCCCAAGGGAG
rnacentral:rRNA from 1 species